rnacentral:rRNA from 1 species
ACGAUAUAGUGGCAGACGGGUGAGUAACGCGUGGGAACGUGCCUUUCACUACGGAAUAGCUCUGGGAAACUGGAAAUAAUACCGUAUACGCCCUCCGGGGGAAAGAUUUAUCGGUGAAAGAUCGGCCCGCGUUAGAUUAGAUAGUUGGUGGGGUAAUGGCCUACCAAGUCUACGAUCUAUAGCUGGUCUGAGAGGAUGAUCAGCCACACUGGGACUGAGACACGGCCCAGACUCCUACGGGAGGCAGCAGUGGGGAAUCUUGCACAAUGGGCGAAAGCCUGAUGCAGCCAUGCCGCGUGGAUGAUGAAGGCCUUAGGGUUGUAAAAUCCUUUCGCCAGGGACGAUAAUGACGGUACCUGGUAAAGAAGCCCCGGCUAACUUCGUGCCAGCAGCCGCGGUAAUACGAAGGGGGCUAGCGUUGUUCGGAAUGACUGGGCGUAAAGCGCACGUAGGCGGAUCAUCAAGUUGGGUGUGAAAUCCCGGAGCUCAACUCCGGAACUGCAUUCAAAACUGUUGGUCUGGAGGACAGGAGAGGUCAGUGGAAUACCGAGUGUAGAGGUGAAGUUCGUAGAUAUUCGGUGGAACACCAGUGGCGAAGGCGACUGACUGGACUGUUUCUGACGCUGAGGAGCGAAAGUGUGGGGAGCAAACAGGAUUAGAUACCCUGGUAGUCCACACCGUAAACGAUGAAUGCUAGUUGUCUGCACGCAUGCGUGUAGGUGACGCAGUUAACACAUUAAGCAUUCCGCCUGGGGAGUACGCCGCAAGUUAAAACUCAAAGAAAUUGACGGGGGCCCGCACA